AUUCUGUUGGUCAAAGCAUCACCAAGCCCAGCCAGAUUAAAGGGGAGGGAACCUAGACCAUACUUUUUCAUGAGAGGAAUAUCAAAGAAUUUGUAGUCGUUUUUUAAAAACUACCACAGAUUGGAAGACUGUAGGUAAACAGGGGCAAGGAUGAUGGGGGAAGAUCAGGAAGAUUCAGUUCUAGACAUGUUGAGUUUCAGAUGCUUGUUGAACCUCUAAGUGGAGAUAUCAAGUAGGCAUUUGUAUAUAUAAGGUUGCAGUUGAAAGACAAGUCGGGGCUGAAGAUGGAUUUAAAGCCCAUAAUACUGGACAAGAUCAUCAAGAGAGAGAAAGUGGAGAACAAACUAAGACAAAGGAACCAUCAAAAGAGACUAAGAAGAGGAACUAGCAAGGUCGUUCUCUUUAAGCUUCUUCAAUUUCUCUAUUCCCUAAUUCCCAGCCUAUCGCAUUUCAACUGACUCUAAAACAGAGCCCUACCGGUAGGUUCAGGACCACGGAGAGCGUGAGGAAGGGGCGCUUCCAAAAUAUUCUCGUCAGUGACCCUAUGAAGAAGAUGUUACCCUCAAAUUGCACAUGAGUCUGCUACAGAAAAGGCUGCUGGAGCUCAAAGAGUCCUGGUGCCAUGAUUCCAAACUCUGGCUCCAAAGUCCUUGUGUUUGUUCCUUUUGCCUCUCUGAACUGACCCUGACUUUGAUAUAAUAAUCCCCCAAGGACAGAUUUCUGUGGAUAAAAACUAAACUUCCUUGGGACAGUCUAUCAAUGACAUCCAAUAAGCAUUCUUUUCAUAACGGCUAAUUAAACAAGUCACUAGGUAAAUUUUCCUUCUGUACUCAAUGCUUAGAUUUGGGGUAGAGGUUUUCUUAAACUGCCAGUUAAGGUACAUACCACCUCAUAAAUUUCAUUAGAGAGCAAUGUAGAAUAAUGGUUUCUCCCUCCAGCAGUGGGAGGCAUUGAAUUGUUUAAUCAGGAUAAUGACAAAGUUAGACUUUCAUGUUGGAUGGCUCACUCUUGUAGUUUUGGAGGAUGGAUUUAGAAUAAAGGAGAUUGGAGGCAGAGAGGUAAUUGACAUGGAAAUUUGUUGGGCAUCUACCCAUCAUUCACUUUCUCCAUUGUUUGCCAAGAGCAUCCUGAUAUCUUGCGGGUCAACUCAUAGAAUGGCUAUCGGUUUAGGCCUUAGAACUGGACCACCUUGGUACAAUUGGCUCUGCCACUUACCAUCAUUGUAAAUGUUGACAGCUUUGACACUUGAGACAUGCCCUCCCUCAUGUCUCAAGUAUCAGUAACAUGGGGACAAUAGUAACAUGGGGAUAAUAUCACUGAAUCAUUGUGAGGUUUUUAAAAAUUAGUGCUUGUAUUAUGAGCACUCAAUGAAUAUUAGCCAUCAUCAUUAUUAUUGUUGUCCUCAACCACAUGUUUUGAAGGGGAUAAGUCACACAACUCCUUAUCUCCUCCACCCUUCAAUCCCCCACCCCACUGUAGAACAGGGCCUACCAUACAGUGAUGAGGAUCACAGAAAUUUCUUCCUUAAAGAAUGGGCAAGACUUUGUCAGUUUGACUCUCUUAACCUACUUUAUCUUUCUUCUGUAUCACCAGAUAUGUUUUAUAUUUGUUCUUGGAAAGUAGAGAAUUUGUGUGAUUUGUCCACUGUUUGUCUUUGAGCAAGCAGUAAAUAUGUGUAAAAUAAAAGUGGCUGAAGAAAGCAUUCUAGGCAUGGGACUAUAUGAACAGUGGUCGGAAAGUCAUGGAGAAAAGCAGGCAUUCCAUGUGUACUGGAGCAAAAGGAACAUACGGCCUGUCUGUAAAUGAGACAGUGCAUUUGAAGCAUUUAGCACCUGGUAACCAUCGUGAUACCCAUUAUAAGAAGUGACAACUAUAAAUUCCUUUUUUUUUUUAAGACUUUAUUUUUCCUUUUUCUCCCCAAAGCCCCCUGGUACAUAGUUGUGUACUUUUAGUUGUGGGUCCUUCUAGUUGUGGCAUGUGGGACGCCUCCUCAGCACAGCCUGAUGAGCAGUGCCAUGUCCAGACCCAGAAUUCGAAUCGGUGAAACCCUCGGCCGCCUAAGUGGAGCAUGCAAACUUAACCACUCGGCCAUGGGGCCGGCCCCUAUAAACUCUUUAAGGGGAAGAAGAGGAUACUCUUCAUUUGAGAUUCAGAGCAUCUAGUACCAUAUACUUGGUUAAUAGCAAGUACUUGAUACUCAGUUGUAGAAUUGAAUGUCGUUAAAUAACCUCGAUGACUUUAUAUAAAUAACACAUAGAUGACUUUGAAUGCAGAUCCAAGAGUUUGGACUUAUUUCAUUAAUAAUGAGGAGCAUUUGGUAUGAUAAACAGGGGAAGUAACAGGAGCAGAUCCAGGAAAUAGACUACAAGGGAAACCUCAGGCAGGGUAGGUUAGUUAGGAGUCUGUUUCAAUAGACCAAAUGACAUAAUGAGGGUCUUGUUUAGGUCUGUGGUGGCAGAAAUGAAGAAGAAGGAACAGGUGCAAAAAAAUUCAGAGUUGGAGAGGAAGGGCUUUGAAAACAGAUGGACUGUUUGGGACAAUUGUGACAGAGGUCAAAGAUGGCUGGGAUUUUAAUUCUGAGUGAUUGGGAAACUGGUGGGACAUCUGAUCAAUUUGUUUUCAGAGAUUAAAAAAAAAAACUUUACUACUCACAGAAAAAGCAGUAGUCAGAAGUCAGCAUGUAUGUGCCAGUUGCCUAUGCCUCCACGUCCACAAGUAUGAUGCAGUGGCCAGGAUGGAUGCUGCAGAAAAAGUCUUUGUUUCAGGAGAGGAACCCAAGGCCACAGGCCUAGGAAGAAGCAAACAUUGCAGCAAGCAGCAAACAAGUCAUCCUCCAUCCUUGCCGUCUCUCAGGGAGCAGGCAGUUACCAGCAGUCACACUGUGUGCACCUUGAUCUACUUGAUUGCUUAUGUGUCUAGCUAUAGAAACUGCUUAGCAUCAGGACAUGGAUCAGCCUUCUGGCUGGCCACUCAACAAGAAUUUUCGGACUGCUUCCAGCCGAUGGCAGAUGCCCCUGCCAACACCAUUCAUUUAAAGUGCAUGCAUCUGGGGCUGGCCCUGUGGCCGAGUGGUUAAGUUCGCGCGCUCCGCUGCAGGCGGCCCAGUGUUUCGUUAGUUCAAAUCCUGGGCGCGGAC